ACAACACCCACUGGAAGUCCUUCAGGAAGACCAAGAAUGCUACAGUGAUAAAAGCUCUAUAGUUAAAAAUAGAAACAUAUUCAAAUGUCAGAGAAGAAAAUGGCAUUUGAUCGCAGCUUAUUGCACAUGACAUCAGGCAGGAGGUCCAUUGCGUCCCACAGUGUACAGUUGCUUAAAUGCUUCUAGGAGAACCGCAAGCAGAUCAGGAAGCCUUCCAUAUGACUGGAUGGUCGCCCAACCCACGACCAGUGCUUGGACCUAGUCUAAGGGUUCCCAAGCAAAUCAAUGUGAAAAUGAGAUGAACCAAAUGUGAGUUUAUAAAAAGGAGAAAUGAAGCAAUACCAAAAAUGAACUGAUAUGAUUUGCACAGUCCCAAUUAAUAGAACCUCCAAGAAGAGUAUUUUGGAAUCUUUUGAGUAGACAGGAGCCCUGUGGGUUGUCUGUGAAUUUGUGCUUGCAGGCAGGAGAUGGCACC